rnacentral:rRNA from 1 species
UACGUAGGGUGCGAGCGUUGUCCGGAAUUACUGGGCGUAAAGAGCUCGUAGGCGGUCUGUCGCGUCGGUCGUGAAAACUUGGGGCUUAACCCUGAGCUUGCGGUCGAUACGGGCAUGACUGGAGUUCGGCAGGGGAGAAUGGAAUUCCUGGUGUAGCGGUGAAAUGCGCAGAUAUCAGGAGGAACACCGGUGGCGAAGGCGGGUCUCUGGGCCGAUACUGACGCUGAGGAGCGAAAGCGUGGGGAGCAAAAAGG